UGCCAGCAGCCGCGGUAAGACAGAGGGUGCAAACGUUGUUCGGAAUUACUGGGCGUAAAGCGCGUGUAGGUGGUUCGGAAAGUCGGAUGUGAAAGCCCUGGGCUCAACCCAGGAAGUGCAUUCGAAACUUCCGAGCUGGAGUCUUGGAGAGGGAAGUGGAAUUCUCGGUGUAGAGGUGAAAUUCGUAGAUAUCGAGAGGAACACCGGUGGCGAAGGCGGCUUCCUGGACAAUGACUAACACUGAGACGCGAAAGCGUGGGGAGCAAACAGGAUUAGAUA
rnacentral:rRNA from 1 species